UACGGAGGGGACUAGCGUUGUCCGGAAUUACUGGGUGUAAAGCGCGUGUAGGCGGGAGGCCAAGUCUGCGGUGAAAUCGCUCGGCUCAACUGGGCGGGGUCCGUGGAAACUGGUCACCUGGAGGACGGUAGAGGCGAGUGGAAUUCCCGGUGUAGUGGUGAAAUGCGUAGAGAUCGGGAGGAACACCAGUGGCGAAGGCGGCUCGCUGGGCCGGACCUGACGCUGAGACGCGAAGGCGUGGGGAGCGAACGGG
rnacentral:rRNA from 1 species